GAUGAAGAACGCAGCGAAAUGCGAUAAGUAAUGCGAAUUGCAGAAUUUCCGUGAGUCAUCGAAUCUUUGAACGCACAUUGCGCCCAUUAGUAUUCUAGUGGGCAUGCCUGUUCGAGCGUCAUUAAGUCCACUUAAGCCCUGCUUAGUGUUGGGAGACUGCUCCAGCGGUGCUACCCUGUAGCUACCCUGCAGCUCCUCAAAGACAGCGGCGGAGUUGUGGUAUCCUCUGAGCUUAGUAACUUGUUCUAGCUUUCGAGUACACCACUUCCCCUGCCGUAAAACCCUUAAUUUUUAAUGGUUGACCUCGGAUCAGGUAGGAAUACCCGCUGAACUUAAGCAUAUCAAUAAGCGGAGGA
rnacentral:misc_RNA from 1 species